GAAGAGAAGCUUGACGCGAGAGCAUAGUGUUAAUCGAAGCUUCAAGCUGUAUCUCGUGAUCAAACAACUCCUCCGUGUAGCCAGAAACCCCAAUAACAUUCUGAAGGGAGGUUAGUUGCUCAUAUAAACCAGACAAAGCAACGUUGAAAUUUCCAAAAGUCUCUUUAUUCCAAGUCUUCAAGUCUUUGCGCAGCCGCUUGAGUUUGCGCAUUACCCGCACCAUAGGGCAACGAACAUCAAUCUCCAGAGACCAGGAAUGUUUCACCAAAUCCAAAAAGCCCUCGUGAGAACACCACAUAUUCAGGAAACGAAAAUGUUUUUGAGCAUGCACCUGAGAAAACGAACAAUUGAGAAUAAUAGGUGAAUGGUCAGAACCCACCCUCGGAAGAACACGAUAACUGAUAUUAUCCCAAUAAUCAGAAAACGAAGCGGAAACGAGAACACGAUCUAAAACCGACUCCGUGGUGACAGGAAAGCGACGCCUAUCAGUCCAAGUGAAAAUAGGCCCAGCAGAUACAGGCUGAAAAAGCAUAUUAUCAUCAAUAAAAUCCCGAAACUCCCGACAAGCAAUAUUACUAGGAUUACGCCGACCCCUACGCUCAUGUGCCCCCAGUAGAGCAUUAAAGUCACCAAUGACAACAAGGCUACCAGUAGAGUAGCAUGCUAAAUCUUCCCAAAGUAAACGACGCGAGAUAUAAUUACAACUCGCAUGUACAAACGCCGCAAAGAAAGAGAACCCCGGAAUCCCAACCUCAAGCACCACUGCUUGAUCCGAGGAAAAGACAACUUUAGUGUUUACUGUCGGAGAAGCAAAAAUCCAAAUAUUGGGAGCAUGCACGCCUCUAUCAUUUUGAUGCACCGGUCGGACAUUGAUUGAAUGCCAAAAAGAAGACUGUGUACGAUUAAAAGACGUCUUGGGCUCAAAGAUUCCAACAAGUGAAGGGAAAUGAGUAACACAAUGAUUGUGUAAAAGAUUACGGGCAGUAGAAAAGCCCCUAAUAUUCCAUGCAAAGAUAUUCAUUGUAAAAACAACAUACCAUCGUCCUCAUUACGAGGAUUAUCAUCACGAUGCUCAGCCUCUUCCGCGUCCAUAAUAUCACUCCAACGUUCGCCAACCACCGCAUCCAUAAUUUGCAAAAAUGGUCGUUGGGAAGAAGUAGUAUAAGCAUGCAGCGGCAUACCAUUAGCAUUGGCUUCACGGACUAAAUUUAAAAAAGCCUUGGGCCGGGCAUUAGGUGUUUCAGCUCUGUGUUCAUCUUCAGCACGCGCAACCCGUUUUGCAUCAAUAUGGCGCCGCAAAUCCCAUUGAUCUUCAGAGGAAAACCCACGAUCAAAGCUUGUUGCGCUGCCCGUAUUACCCUCAUAAACAUUGUCAGCAGGAGGAUCUGAUCGAGAACCAGAAGCAUUAGAGUUGACCCUAGCCAAAGCUGACGAGAGCCGACUCUGAGCGUCCCUAACAGAAGCCAAAUCAGGCCCCAAUUGAUCUUGUGUAGCCAAAGGAAAACCCACUCCAGGUGAUUGAACUAAAACCUGAGAGGGAGAAUUGCGCCCGACAUCUGUUUGAUGAAAUUCCCCAACUGUAGAGAGCAAUUGAACCUGCCCCUUAGCCAAAACCGAGCAACCAUCUUUGGCCGUGGGUGUAAUGGUAAUAGCUAAAUUGCCGUCCGUUUGAUCCUGAGGUAAGCUGUUUUCCCUGGCCGAGGGAGAGAAAUCCACCCCAGUCUUUUGAACAACUUGUGUAUUCCCAGCAGAAGAGUGUAACUCGGGCUGAUUCUUUGUAUUUUUAGGAGAUGAAAUACCCGUUUUAGGAGCCUUGUGCCCGACGUCGGCCUGAAGCGGUCGCUCAGUUUCCUCAUAAAUCAUCUCCGUAUCCGAUUCCUCCCCAAGAACCUCAAAACCAUUCUGACUAGUGGUGACAGGAGCAUUAGAUAUAUUAUUCCAUCGUUGGGUUUGACGCCAAUGUUUUUUACCUUGCACCGGACGAAAAUCAUCCUCUAAAACCGCAGCAGGAGGAACCGACGCAUGAGUAUCAGUAGGAACCGAAGUAGAGACCUUGUUGGGAACCGCAGUCUCCACAGAGCUGGGGUCCUUAGGCUUUCGACUACAUCUAUCCGAAGAAUGUCCGACCGUUUUACAAAUACCACAAAAAUAUGGCAUAGACUCGUAACCAAAUUCCACCUCCAAAGCCACGUUGCCACGUGCCACCGAAAGGUGAGUGGGAGUAACCUUAGAAACAUCAAUCUCGACCAGGACACGCGCGAAGUGUCCUACAGCAGCAGAAAAAGUAAGACCAUCAAGCUUAAUUGGCGUGCCAACCGAACGUGCAAUGCCCGUAAUAACUUCCGGAUGCCAACAUUCAUGCGGCAAGUAAUAAAUUCGGAGCCAAACAAGGGCAAUAGUAGAAGACUCCUUAUACGGAUCAAAAAGAGGCGUCCAAUCACGGAUGCGAAUAAGUCCAACGGAAAGCUUCCAUGAAAGUUUGGAGCGAGCAGUAAGCAUAUCCGAUUCCCUACUAAAUUGAAGCGUAAAAAACCCUUUUCCCAGAGUGACAACGCGAAACCGGCUAUCCAAACGCCACAAAGACGAGAGUUCCUUCUGAAUAUCCGAAGAAGUCCGAGGAAGACUACCUUUAGGUAAAAGUAACUUCGCAUGAAGCGCAAAACGAAGCUCAUGCAACUGUUGUUGAUAAAUAGAAUCAGGAAUAUGUAACACCAUCUUUUCCCCAGUAGUAUGCGGAUGGAGCGCACAAAAAUUUUGUGCUAAGACAUCAGGGGGUUUCGGCGAAAAAACCCUAGCCGCGGAGGCGUAAGUUCGUCGAGGGUUAGUAACAGGCUUACCCUUAAUGAUUGGUGAUUGCUCAUGAGGGGUAGAGUUCACCGGCGAAAUAGUCUUCCCAAUAUCAGAUCCAGGGAGGGUCGAUCUAGGGACCGAAGCAUCAGCAGAGAUAGCGUUCGGGACAAUAACCAAUUCACGGGAAAGGUUAGGCGGAACAGAGGAAGAGGAAGCCAUGAAAACCAUCCCCGGAGAAAACCAGGCAGAGAUAAGUCAAAAGGUAGAUUUGAGCACUGUAUCAGCAAGAUCCAACCUAUCCGAGAGCGGCGGACGUGUGGGAGCUGCGCUGCUGGUCUGGGUCGUCUUCGCCGGAAAAGUAAACGCAGCGGAGGAUCCUUGAGAAGAAGAGCAGACGAGGAGCUGCAGCUAGGCGUAAUGUCGGUCAAAGGGGGAUCCACCUUAGCCGAGAGGGACGGGCGGCAGGCUCGCGACGGCGGCGAGCAGCAGCGCGGUGGGAGAAGGUGUGAGGCGACGAGCGACGACCAGAUCCCCUUUCGACAGGCGAGGAGCGUGCAGAUCUCCUGAGCAGAUGCAGUCCGAUUGAAGGCGGCGGCCGUUGCGGGUCGAUGGAAAUGGCCGCUGAGUGCACGGAGGAGGCGCAGAUUCCUUGCGCCGGUGGCUUAAUGGCUCACGGAGACGCGCUGGGUCUCAGCUACAGCAGCUUUUUCCUCUAUGCUACAGUAGCAUAAUUCUCUCAGCUACAGUAGCUUUUUCUCUCAUCCGAGUCAUCUCCCACUCACCAAUGCCAAAACAAAAAUCUCAAGAUGUAUGAGUUCUUACUAAGCAAUAAAGUUGAGAUACUAAAGAUUCUUCUCAAUGGAAAAGUACUUAAUUUCAAUGUUUGAUUAACAUUUUGUAAUAUAUAUAUAGGGGGCCGUUCCAAUGAGAUCCCCUAAUUUUAGUGAGAUCUAGGGCACGAUCUGGUGGAUUUAUUUUAUCAAUUCUAUGGCUGAUAUUGUAUCUGAAGGGUGAUUUUUUUUCGCAGGGUUCGAAUCCUGGAGGUAGCUGAAUAUUUUAAAUUUUGUUAUUCAUCAGUAUAUACUGCAUUGUUCAUCAGUAUAUACGACCCUGUUCAUCAGUAUAUAUGUCUUAUUCAUUACGAAUUUUUUUANAAACCCCAAUAACAUUCUGAAGGGAGGUUAGUUGCUCAUAUAAACCAGACAAAGCAACGUUGAAAUUUCCAAAAGUCUCUUUAUUCCAAGUCUUCAAGUCUUUGCGCAGCCGCUUGAGUUUGCGCAUUACCCGCACCAUAGGGCAACGAACAUCAAUCUCCAGAGACCAGGAAUGUUUCACCAAAUCCAAAAAGCCCUCGUGAGAA
rnacentral:lncRNA from 1 species